ensembl:antisense
UUGGCAGAAGUUUGGUUAGCCAUCGAAACAAAUCCUGUGCCCCACCCCUCUUGAAAAAUUGAUUUGGGAGUUGGGGAAAUCAGGCUUUCUUUUUUUUUCUUUCUUGCCUUUUUUAUUAUUAAUAUUUUUGUUGUUUUUUUUUUAAGCUCCAGCGCUCAGAGGAGUGGCCCCAAGCGAGGCCAGACUGUAAGGACGGCGGGGAACGCAGCGACUUCUCCAGGGGACAGCGCCAGGCGGGAGCGGCUGGCCCAAACCCGGACUCGUAGUCUAAGGGACCUGGCCAGGGUUAGAGACUGAGCGCUGGCCACCAUUGGCAAAGUGGGCCUCGACAGCGGGCAACGCAAGGCCAGCGGCACGCAGCUGGAGACUCCUGGGUGCAUCCGGCCAGACAUCCGCGAGAAAACUAGAAGACGUCGCAUCGGGAAACAGGUGUGAAAAAUCUAAGGCCUUGAGCCCUGAGGUUAGGCAGAGGCCUGGGCCUGGACCUGGACCGCCUUCUCUGGGUAUCUGGGCCCUGGCGCGUUACUGCGGGAAGAAGCCGAGCGGGUAAAGGCUGGGGCGUGCAGAGCCGGGAGGCACCGAACCGCUCGCAGAAGCAGCGGCCCAACCGGGUGCACUCCGCCCUCUGCUGGCCAUAGUGUGUCUCUGCAACCACUGCUGGGCACCGAAAGCCCUGAUUCCAGGCCCGGAGCUUCGCCAUCUCCUUCAGGCUGAGUCGGAAGAAUCUUCUCUGUCUCAAACCUUAAAGACGAACCUAAGCAAUCGCGCAGUGUUUCACCCCCAUCUUCACCCUCCCAUUUCCCCCACACUCCCUGUGCCUGUCCAUUUCUACCCCAUCCCUCUCCGUUUCUCUUUGGCUGAAUGGUGGCCCCUGUGGCCCGGCUUCAGAGGUUUCCCUGAUCCUCUGGCUGGCAUCUAAGACCGGGUCUGGACCUUUGGCUGUGUUUGCUGCGCGUUCUGCAGUGCUUGAAGCCAGGUCUCAGCACCGAGGGCACACCUGUAGCCCCCCCAUUUGAUGCAUGGCUGGUGUGUUUUCCAAGGCUCAGAGUUUUGGGGGCCUCUCCCUGCGCAGCCCGGCCCACUCGGGUCAGGCUGCCGAAACUGUCGGCAACUGAGUUCAGAGUUCCCUGGGUGAACAGUGGCACCAAGAUUGUCUCUAGUCCGAUUGAGGACGAUGCUCCGUUCACAGAUGCCUGUUUCCUUCUGUCCGUUCUCCUCGUAGGCCUUCUUUGUCCUUACUUUCCAACCCCGAAUUGACUAGACCCGGUCUUCACAUUGCCCCACAUAGUCGUCCAUGUGUCUCCGAAGCAUUCUUAGGGUUCUUGGUCUCCCAUCCUUUGCCUCUAAGGAAGAACAAUAUGACUGGACAGGAGAACACCGGCCUAGGCCUAGAACCCACUUCUCUCCGCGGGCCUCAAGCUCCUGGCUUCGCCUCUCUCUUCUGUACAAGCUGAUGCCCACCCCUGGCUCUGAGACUCACAACGCAGGUGGCCUAUCUCUUCCGCGCCGUCCAACGCGGGAUGCUUGCGGCCUCCGACGUCUGCUGCAGAAUCCGCUCGGGAUUGUUUCCACUUGAAGGCGGAGAGUUGCCAGCGACUGCUGGAAUCGCAAGAAACAAAACAGGGAGAGAUCCGGGCUCUUCUUAUCCCAGAGGCGUUCAGCUCCUGAGUCCUGACUUGGUCUCUGGCUCUUCUCCUUUAGGACCUUGCAACCUCACUCAGUAGCGACCCAUCUUGUGAGAGCGGGGGAGCGGUGUGAGAGGAAGGGCUACACCAGCGAAAACCUAACGGUUUGGUGCUUCUGACCAGAGUCCGGGAGAGAGAGGACCCUUCCUCCAGGUUUAGAACCACCGGCUGCAGUAUCAGAUCCCAGCAGGAGGAGGACCACAGCCUUGGAUUCAUCAGCAAGGAGACUAUCAGAAGCAUCGCACCGGCCUUCCUGUUCUGCCUCAAGAACCAAAGCCAUGGAACACCUAGGCUCACCCCAUGCUGCCCCUGGCUAAUGGCAUCUCAAGAUCUACGAGGCUCUGCCCCGCAGAAUCAAAGCUGUCCCAAAGCUGUGGGCCAAGUUGGGAGCUGCUCCUCGGGGAAACUCAGUCUAUCCCAGACCCUCAGUGAUGAAGAACCCGAAGACCACGGAAAUGGAGCAAGGGCGCGCCCAAGACUCAGCAGAGGUCGAUCACUAGCAAUCCAACUCCCGAGCAUCCAGGUACCCCUCUGAGCAUCCUAGCUGGUCUUCACCCCACACACGAGUCAAAGCAUUGGACGACCACUUUCUACUACCUAAGGAAGGGCGUCUGAAGUCUCCCUGUGCUGGUGGAAGUUCUCCAGAGAGGCGAGACUAGAGAGGGAUUUCUGGGGUACUUAUUCUCCACUGGGGGCUUUUGAGGCUGAUGAGAGAGGGGUGUCAGGGUUUGCUGGUGGCUGGUGAGUGUUAGGAUGCCUUGAGCAAGAAGAUGAACAUCCGCAGCCAGAUCCCUCAGCCCUCCAACAACUCCCACUCUGGCCAUUACUCUGGACCAUCAGUCAUGGACUUGCUCCACGUGUGGGGAAAUCAGGCUCUCUCAGAUCCAAAGGCUGCCGGCAGCUCUUAGGAAGUUUCAGAGAAGGCCCUCCCAGGACUGGUGGCCCAGAACUGAGGUCUCCUACUGGCUACAGAAUGGUUAGGAACAGGAGAAGGGCAGGUGUCAGGAAGCAUCCCUGUCUGUCUCAGGGUCUGGUUAGGAGACACCAGGGUAAAAGACCUGCUGCGCCUUUGUACUUCAAGGUCCCUGUCUGUGCAAUGGGCAUAAAAGAGACUUACAGAGUCUCUGGGAGGGUCACAUGAAAGUGCUCGUGGUGUGGCAGCUCACUGUGGGGCUCUAGACCUACUAUUUGAUGAAUAAUUGUAUGGGAGGAGAGCUGCUACUUAGACAUAGGAGACUCUCUUCCUCUUUCUGUUCCUCUGCCGCCUCUAGAGCCAGAACGAAAACAGACUUGUCUCAAAUUCAGGUGGAGUCCCCGAGCCGGCUACUGUGGACUGGCCACCUGAGACACGGCCAGUGCCUGGGCACCCAGCACAAACAGCUCAGCCUUCUCACUUUGUCAUGAAACCCGAGGCUGAGGGCAGCUAACACCGACAGUGAGAGCUUUGAGAGGCAAUAGAAUCAAGAUUUUUUUUUUAAAGCUCUUUGGAAAGAAACCCGUUAGAGACUGUGAUGUGUGUACUUUUUUGUAUGUUUGCUUUUUACCAAGCACUUUCCCUAAGAAUCUCUGCAUUUCUUGCCAAAGGAUGGUUUCAACAGGCAUCCUGUCUUUAAGAAUGAGUGGCUCCCCAGUCCAGUUACAGGAACCAGAACAAAGAGAGGGUGAAGGACCGUGUUUGGAGCCAUAAAAGCCUCAUUAGGAACUUAAGACUAACUCACAGAAUCGGACACAGAUUCACAAAAGCCAGGGAGUUCAUUGGUCUCCACCCUGAGGGUCCACGGCUGGGGAAGGGGGGGGUGGGUGUGAGCCAGGGCGGGUGCCUCUCUUAUUUGAUCUCUAUCUUAAAUCCACUUCAAAACGCUGCGGCUCAGCCGAAUUGGAGGUUGGCCCCUUCCUGUAAUUAUUUGGUGUCUAGUAAAGUUUUUAUGAGUGUCUGUGCAAAUAAAUGCAUCUGAUGAUGUG